rnacentral:rRNA from 1 species
AGGACGAACGCUGGCGGCGUGCCUAACACAUGCAAGUGGAGCGACGACCCGGGCUUCGGCCCGGUGCAAAGCCGCGAACGGGUGAGUAACACGUGGGUAACCUGCCCUGAUGAUUGGGACAACCCGAGGAAACUCGGGCUAAUACCGAAUGUGCCCUCUGGCCGUAAGGCCUCUGGGGAAAGGAAGCUUCGGCCUCCGCAUUGGGAUGGGCCCGCGGCCCAUUAGCUUGUUGGUGAGGUAACGGCUCACCAAGGCAACGAUGGGUAGCUGGUCUGAGAGGACGAUCAGCCACACUGGGACUGAGACACGGCCCAGACUCCUACGGGAGGCAGCAGUGGGGAAUCUUGCGCAAUGCGCGAAAGCGUGACGCAGCAACGCCGCGUGGGGAAGAAGGCCUUCGGUUGUAAGCUCUUUCGCCCGCGACGAUGAUGACGGUAGCGGAGAGAAGCCCGGCUAACUCGCGUCAGCAGCCGC